GUUUUCCCUCUAUCAAUAUUUCGCGGAGCUACUUAGAGAUGUUUACUCGUGCGGCGCUACACGGAGCCAACAAUACGCUUGCUGUCGCGGCUGGCCUACCUCCCAGGUAGAGUCCUCGCCUCCUCCAGUACUACCAUAGAGGAAGAUCGUGGUAAGUUUUUGUACCUAUUUAUUUUGGAACUUGAUAUUGAAGGUUAGUCUUAUAACUAACACAUGGUGAGUAACAACAAAAACAUACAAACAAAUACUUGUACAAUCUGUAUGUCGAUACUAAGUAAUAAAAUGAUUAGUUAAAGUAAUAGAAACUGCCAUUUUUAUUGUCUAUCUCUUCGAUAUUGUUAGACGUUAAAUGUCACAAUUUUGGGAAAUCUUUUAAAUCACUUUUUAUACUUCACGCUGUAAUUGAUCGAAUCAAGUCCGUG
rnacentral:misc_RNA from 1 species